GAAAAAAAUCUACGACGGUUAACCUAUGAAAAAAACCCGGACGGAAGUGGUGGGACGAAAAAAAACCUGAAAGCGAGACUACCAACUGCUCCAUUAGAAGUAGAGAUUAAUUUAGAGUUUUCCUCUUAUAUGAACAAGUAACUGCACAUCUGAUUUUCUUAUGCUGUAAAACACCAUCGAAGCGACCACGAUACUCGCUUGAAAUAGGUCAUCAUAAACAUUGUUUAACAUUGUUAGGGUACGUUCAAAUUUCAAAGUCUAAAAAGAAAUAUUCAGUGUAACCUUAUUUCUGACGUUUCAAAUAAUUAGAUUAAAAACUGUUGCAUAAUGGCACUAGAGCAGGUUAUAUUUAUUUUUUCUCUCAAUGCAACGCACAUGCAUUUCUACUAGUACCCAACUAAAACGCCCUCGUUCUCCGAGCCUCCCGCAGUCUCCUGAGUCCUGAUCCUCUUCCAAAAAUAAACCCACCCUCGUUCUCCAAAACGGAUCGAAGGUCCAUCGUCGCCUGCUUCCGCUCCGAUGGGUGCCAGGCGUCCGUUUGCUUCCACUCUGACGGGUGCCCCAGGCGUUCCUCUGCUUCCUCUGGGAUGGCGGAUCAGUCGGCAUGCAACGUUCACAGUGGGGCGCCAAGAAUUAGAUGGACAAGUCAUCUGUGAAGCAGCAGGUAGAAGGCUACCUGGCAGUGCCUCCAGGGAUUCGCUGUACAAUACAUGUCACCACAGCUAUGUCGAUGAAGACUCAAAGUGAUGCUUUCAUUAUAUCACUUGCCAAGUUUACAUCACUUCACUCUGCUGCCAAGGUUGAAACCCCACUCUGUAGUUUCUCUUCAGAUCUUGCAGUAGCAAAGCAAGGGAAUGUGAUGCAAGACUGGAGAGUGGCAAAGUGGCAGAUGACAUCUAUGUGGAGGGUGAUGAUGAUCCAUGUGGCAAUGAGCAAUAUGAUAACUAGGGCGAUGACGGUGAUAAACUCGACGUUCUCUUCAAGUAAUGCAACAAAGAGAAGUUCUAAAGUUUGUGGAAAAUUUAGCUUAUGUAAAAUCUUUGUACAAGUUACUACUUUGUUUUGUAUUUGACAAUUUUAAGAUGGAUCAUAAUGGUCAAUGUAAUUUGGAUGCAACUAAUUAGGCCUAUGAUACUUUCCGAGGUUAUCCUAAAUAAAUAUAUAUUAUGGUCUUUUGUGA